rnacentral:rRNA from 1 species
GACGAAGGGGGCUAGCGUUGUUCGGAAUUACUGGGCGUAAAGCGCGUGUAGGCGGUUGUCCAAGUUGGAUGUGAAAGCCUUGAGCUCAACUCAAGAAAUGCAUUCAGGACUGGAUGACUAGAGGACCGGAGAGGAUAGUGGAAUUCCCAGUGUAGUGGUGAAAUACGUAGAGAUUGGAAAGAACACCAGUGGCGAAGGCGGCUAUCUGGGACGGUUUCUGACGCUAAGA